CCGGUCCCAGUUCGGAUUGUAGGCUGCAACUCGCCUACAUGAAGUCGGAGUUGCUAGUAAUCGCGGAUCAGAAUGCCGCGGUGAAUGCGUUCCCGGGUCUUGUACACACCGCCCGUCACACCAUGGAAGUUGGGGCGCCCGAAGUUGCCUAAGAAAUAAGGUACCUAAGGCGAAACCAAUGACUGGGGUGAAGUCGUAACAAGGUAUC
rnacentral:rRNA from 1 species